CUGCUGAAGGAGACAGACGCUUCUUCCUCACUGCUGGAGAGGGACGCCAAGGAGAACCACUGCUGCACCGGGGACCAGCCUGAGCUUCCAGAGAGCCCUGCCACGCACAAUGCUGAGGAGCUGCUACUGAUACCCUUGAGGAACACCUUCAAUACACAUGAGCAGGCAUCUUUGGAAAGUGAGGGCAAGAAGAACUGACUGGCAAGAACUAACAGAGGUAAUAGUUGACGGGAAAGGAAAGAGAAACGACAUUCAGGAUGGACAACAGCACAAGAUGAACACGUUUAACAGGUCCUCAGUUAGCAUUUGUCUGAAUCCUUUAUUAAAACCCAAGAAUAUCAGGAUUCUCAUCUACACCUGCACUUCUGUUCCUGAACCCACAAGUUGCGGCAUUAAAAGGAACAUCACAAACGGUGACAGAAUAAUGUCCAAUAGCAUAAGAUAUUGCGCAUAUAUGUGUGUGAUUAAAUAUAUAUGUUAAAAAAGGCACUAAACGAAUUAAAAAAGGCAGCCAGCCAGACCAACAAAACAAUCUUAAUAGGGGCAAACAACAUGACAGCAGCAUAUGAUCUGCUCAAC